GACGAACGCUGGCGGCGUGCUUAACACAUGCAAGUCGAGCGAGGCCCCUCCAUCGGGCGGGUGUCCUAGAGGCGAACGCGUGAGUAACACGUGGGCAACACGCCCCCAGCACUGGGAUAAAUCCGGGAAACCGGGGAUAAUACAGGACACGACAUCAACGGGCACCUGAGGAGGGGGAAAGAGUUUCGGCUGAUGCUGGGCCAGCGGCCUAUCCGCUAGAUGGUGGGGUAGUGGCCCAACAAGGCGACGACGGGGAGCCGGCCUGGGAGGGCGACCGGCCACACAGGGACUGAGGAGCGGCCCGUACUCCUACGGGGGGCAGAAGUGGGAAAUAGUGCGCGAUGGGCGGAAGGCUGACGCAACGACGCCGCGUGGGGGAGGAAGGUCGUCGGGGUGUAAACCGCUUGCAGCAGGGACGAAGCGAAUGUGACGGUACCUGAAGAAGAAGCACCGGCCAACUACGUG
rnacentral:rRNA from 1 species